rnacentral:miRNA from 1 species
GAUUUCGGACGUCAUAAACACGAUCAAAUUUGGUGUUUAUGACGUCGACGUUAUAGACCCGAUCAACUUAGAUGUUUAUGACGUCGAUAUUCGAUACUCGUCGAUAUUCGAUGUCAUAAACACGAUCAACUUUGGUGUUUAUGACGUCGACGUCAUAAACACGAUCAACUUUGGUGUUUAUGACGUCGAUAUU